rnacentral:rRNA from 1 species
AGACCGAUAGCGAACAAGUAGAGUGAUCGAAAGAUGAAAAGCACUUUGGAAAGAGAGUUAAAAAGCACGUGAAAUUGUUGAAAGGGAAGCGCUUGCAGCCAGACUUGCCUGUAGUUGCUCAUCUAGGUUUCUACCUAGUGCACUCUUCUAUAGGCAGGCCAGCAUCAGUUUGGGCGGUUGGAUAAAGGUCUCUGUCAUGUACCUCUCUUCGGGGAGAACUUAUAGGGGAGACGACAUGCAACCAGCCUGGACUGAGGUCCGCGCAUCUGCUAGGAUGCUGGCGUAAUGGCUGUAAGCGGCCCGUCUUGAAACACGGACCAAG